rnacentral:rRNA from 1 species
UACGAGGGGGGCGAGCGUUGUCCGGAGUUACUGGGCGUAAAGGGCGCGCAGGCGGUCUGGCAAGUUUGGAGUGACAGUGCUCGGCUUAACUGAGCAAGGCCUUCGAAAACUGCUAGACUUGAGCACUCAAGAGGGACAUAGAAUUCCGGGUGGAGUGGUGAAAUGCGUAGAUAUCCGGAGGAAUACCAAAGGCGAAGGCAGUGUCCUGGGGAGUGUCUGACGCUCAGGCGCGAAAGCUAGGGGAGCGAACAGG